AAGAGCUGGAAUAUGCUGAUAAAACUCCAGACGUCCAGGGAGGAUGUCCAUCAAACGCUGAGCGCAGUUGUCAGUCGGAGCCGGGUUGUCUGCCGUCACACUCGUCCAGGAGUUCAUCAGGUUACCAGUGGAUAUCCGGUCUAACAGCGCUUCAAUCCGAACACCCAGACGUCCAGAGCCAAACCCGGCACGUCUUCACACUCCUGCAAAGGCAGCUGCAGGAGAACGGUCUGCUGAUGAAGCACGUGCUUCUGGUUCAUCUCUACGUGAGCGACAUGGAGAACUUCAGUCUGAUCAACUCCGUGUACUGCACCUACUUCACUCAAAAUCCUCCAGCCAGGGUCUGUGUUCAGGUGUGGCUCCUGGUCUCUCAGCAGCUGCGGAUGGACGUUCUGCUUCACGACGGGACGGUGGUCUGCGAGGAGGACGCUUUUCCUCAGAGAGGCACGCUUCACGUCCAGAGUCUGUCCCACUGGGCCCCGGCCAACAUCGGGCCCUACAGUCAAGCCGU